GAUGAACGCUGGCGGCGUGCCUAAUACAUGCAAGUCGAACGCAUUGAGAGAAGUGCUUGCACUUUUCAAUUUGAGUGGCGAACGGGUGAGUAACACGUGGGCAACCUACCUGAUAGCGGGGGAUAACGAGUGGAAACAUUCGCUAAUACCGCAUAACAAUAGAGAAGGCAUCUUCUUUAUUUAAAAGGCGCUUUCAAGCGUCACUAUCAGAUGGGCCCGCGGUGCAUUAGUUAGUUGGUGGGGUGAAGGCCUACCAAGACGAUGAUGCAUAGCCGAGUUGAGAGACGGAUCGGCCACAUUGGGACUGAGACACGGCCCAAACUCCUACGGGAGGCUGCAGUAGGGAAUCUUCCACAAUGGACGAAAGUCUGAUGGAGCAACGCCGCGUGUGUGAUGAAGGCUUUCGGGUCGUAAAGCACUGUUGUAUGGGAAGAAAUGCUAGGCUAGGAAAUGAGCUUAGUUUGGCGGUACCAUACCAGAAAGGGACGGCUAAAUACGUGCCAGCCGCCGCGGUAA
rnacentral:rRNA from 1 species